AAGCUCCAGUUCACAGUCAUGGCACCCUACUGGAGUCUUUCAUUCUGGCCCCUGAAGUGACCCAGCUCUGGAGGCGGGGGCCCUACAGACUGAGGGUGAAGAUGGCUUCCCAUGAGAAGAAAGGAUGAAGGCAUCUGAAAGUGAGAUGGAGAGCCCGCAUGAGUGGCUGUGGAUAUUCUCCACUUGGUCCUCCAGAUCCACUCUCCAUCCUUCUCUGCCCUGUUCUGUGUCCUGGGAGGCUGACCUCUGUCUGCAGAUCUCAUCAACUGGCUUCCCCAAUCUCCUGUAUUCCAAUCCUAUUUGACCAACAUGAGGCACCAGCAGGAGAUUGAAGAGGAGGGAAGAAACAGGUGGCCCCCGCACUUAGGACCUCAGCUACAUGUGUUCAUUUCCAGAGUGUUCCAAGAUUCUGGAUCAUUCAAGCUCACUUCAGGUGCACUUUAUGUCUCCACCUCCCAUGAUACCAUAUAACCUUGUGUUUAGACAGAAGCUUCUAAAUAAACAACCACAGCACA